UUUGUAAAGCGGCACGAAGCAGUCAUAAGUUUUCAAUAACUGCUGAAGUGAGCGCGGGAUGUCUUCAGCAUUCUUAUAAAUAUCCAAGAGGCAGUCUAUCAAUGUAAAUCUUUGAAGAUUAUAUUGGGGACAGUCAAAAAAAAUGUGAUCAAGAGUUUGGAUGGAUAAAUUACAGAAUUGACAAAAUAAAUGAGCACCACUACGAGACGGUCCCAGACGUAACCGACAAAUUGUGGUGUAAAAUUUUCUGUGGACAUUUAAGGAUAGAAUAAUGGAUGAUAAUUGUUCUAAAUCAACAUUAUUAAAUGCUCCUACAACAUCCAACAAAACACCAGCCAAUAUCUUAUUGUCAAUCUGGGCACUAUGGAUGUCAAGACAUAAAUGUCGUAUACUCUCACAAGCAGAACGACCACAUCGAAAUCCAAUUUUGAUUAUUAGAUUACUGUGUGGAGGAAUGUUGGAUGGAAUUGAAGAAGAUUCAGUUUCCGACACUACCAUGGAAAAUUUUGUGAUUGUAGGCAAGUGAUAGCUGCCCAUAGAGUCCUGAUGAACUUGCCAUUCACAGCACAGGAAUAAUGAAGAUGAUACUAUUGUUAGAUGUAGUCCAUUUGGUCUCCAAGAAAUAGUACCCACUGUAGUUGGUUGAUCAUUAUUUAAGAGCAUUAAGUCAUUAUCGUCCAUUACAUCCAUGAUGUCUGUACCUCUAGAAUUGGUUCUAUUACAACCCCAAAUGGUAUGGUGAGCAUUAAAAUCACCAGCAAUUAUUAGUGGUUUUGGAAUACGAUGCUAUGUCUAUUAAAUUUAGAUUUGUCAAAGUUAGGUACACUGUUGCCAGGACUAUAAAAGCUAACAAUUGAGAUGUCUUUUUGUUUGUAUUUAAUUUUGAUUGCUACAUUUUGCAAGGAGUUAUCAGAAAAUGUUGCUAACUUUUGAAAAUAAAUGCCAUUUCUAACAAAAAUUGCUACACCAUUGUGAUCCUUACCACAAUCAUUUCUUAGUAUUGUAUAACCUCUGAUAGAAAACUGUAUAUUUGGUUUAAGCCAAGUUUCUGAUAUAAGUGCUAUGUGUAUGUCCUGCUCAUAAAGUAGGUUUUGAAGCUCAAGUCUGUUACUCAACAGACUUUGAGCAUUCCACUGUACUAUGUUAAGUUUUAUUUUUAAUUUGUAUGGUAUCUUUAAUAGCUGAACUAAUUGCGUGUGAGCUAAUGCUUUGAUUCUGUGUUUUAUUUAGUGUAAUGACUUUUACUAUUGAUUCUGUGAUUAGGUUCAUUGCUGCUGGAUUGGAUAAAAUUAAAUUAAUAAUGUCUUGUGUGUUCUCUGUCUUAUUGAGUGAUGGAAAGUUUGUUGGAUGUUUAAAUAAAUCUGAUAAUGGUGUUUUA